rnacentral:lncRNA from 1 species
UACCAUUCAUGGGAGGGAGGAAGAGGAGAGUGGUUGAAGGUAACUCACAGCAUCAUAUAGAGUGUGGUCGGAAGAGAAGUAAGUGCGUGUAAUGUUUCGAAGUGGAGGGUUUUUAAGGUUUCUUUUUCAGGUUGUAUAAGCCCGAGUUGAUGUGUAUAUUACAAAUCAUCACCCAUCAUCCAUCAUCAUUAUCAAUCAAUAAUAAGUCACCACAUUCAUUUUCCUAGAAUAAGAGGAAUUGACUCAAGCGAGAAUGAGAGGUUUUUUCUGCUUAUUUCAACUCCCUCCCUUCUUUCGAG